rnacentral:ncRNA from 1 species
AGCAGGGGUGCCGACACUGAUGCGGCUGAGAUCAUACCCUGUGAACCUGAUGCGGAUAAUGCCGAUGUAGGGAGCUU